rnacentral:tRNA from 1 species
GGGCGCAUAGCUCAGCUGGAUAGAGUACCUGGCUACGAACCAGGCGGUCGGAGGUUCGACUCCUCCUGCGCCCACCA